rnacentral:rRNA from 1 species
GACGUAGGAUGCAAGCGUUGUCCGGAUUUAUUGGGCGUAAAGAGUUCGUAGGUGGUUUGUUAAGUCUGGUGUUAAAGAUCGGGGCUCAACCCCGGGAGUGCAUUGGAUACUGGCAGACUCGAGUGUGGUAGAGGCGAGUGGAAUUCCCAGUGUAGCGGUGAAAUGCGUAGAUAUUGGGAAGAACACCGGUGGCGCAAGCGACUCGCUGGGCCAUUACUGACACUGAGGAACGAAAGCUAGGGGAGCGAAUGGG